CAGAGAGUGUGGGAGGAGCUUGUAGGGGGCCAACUGCUGGUUCAGAUCUGAGACUUUGCAGUGUGUGCCGUCAGAGCACUUCAUGAGAUUAGUGCCAGUGUCGCUGCGCAUGGAAGGGGAUGUCCAGUCCAGCUCACUGUUUUUGUGCUUUUUAUUGGAGGCCAAACCUGUGAAGCACCUCAGCUCUUCUGCACACUUUCCUCCAAGAUCAAAGUUUCACCUAAGCCAUGGGGCUCUUUGUGCAUGGCGUCCCUGUGGUUGACUGUUAUGUGAACAUCCUCAGAAAUAAAACAAGGACCUCUUCCAGAGCACCCCAACACUUCAGUUUUGAAGAAAGAGGGACUCAGUCAGUGGCUUACGCGUGUGGAAGUGCUGGCAAACUGAACAGGGGGCAGCGAGGUGAGCUAGAAAUUGACAACAUUAGGUAGUAUGAGAAACAGUAAAAAGAGUUGGAAUUACUGAAGGCUGCAGUCAAGGAAAAGUGUGAUAAGCUUCUACUCUUUUCCUCUCUUCCUUGUUUUUCUAUUUCUCGUCCCCAUCUUACUGAUGGCAGUUUCUAACAUCUCUAACCAUGAGGAGGGAAGUCAGAGAAAGGAGUGGGGUGAAGAUAAGGGGGAGAGGGUAUGUAUUUCUUGUCUGAUCACCUGAUGGCAGCCAGAACCAUGGAAACAUAGUGACUGUUCUAGAGGUCCUCUACCACAGAGAGGUUGGGGAAAUGCCCUGGUUUCUUCUCCCAAGCACCCCCAUCUUUUUGUAGUAUGUCUCAUUGGCUAACCUCAGCUAGAGCCCAGAUGACAUGGGAACUUAGGAAAGGAAGCUCUUAGCUUUCUAUGUUACUACAAACUAAGAGACUUAAAACCAUGCAUAUUUAUAAUUCCAAAUUUCUCCUGGGAAGGAGUCCCGGCAUUGGUGAUGUGGACUUCUAGUCAGGGUCUCAAAUGUUGAAAUCAAGGUAUUGGCCUG